AUGGAGAUUGCAUGUAGAGUCAUCCUGCUCCUCUUGCUGCCACUUAACUUUGUCGUCGCCCAAAAUGCUUCUAGGGCAGCACAGGAACUCCAUGUCGGCGUUAUCCUUGACUUGGAGACCAUGGUUGGCAAAAUAGCACGGACCAGCAUUUCAUUGGCUAUGGAGGACUUCUAUGCUGUUCAUCACAACUAUAGCACCAAGCUAGUCCUCCACAUCAGAGAUUCCAUGAGGGAUGAUGUCCGAGCUGCAUCUCAAGCUAUUAACCUGCUGGAAGAUUACAAUGUAGAAGCCAUUAUUGGUCCUCAGAAAUCUUCGCAAGCUGUAUUUAUCUCGAAGCUGGGAAAUAGAAGUCAUGUCCCAGUUAUAUCCUUCACAGCAACAAGCCCAUCUCUGUCAUCUAAAAGUCUUCCAUAUUUUGUGCGAGCAACAGUAAAUGACUCGGCACAGCUGAAUUGCAUUGCCUCCAUAGUUAAAAGCUAUGGGUGGAGAAAGGUCGUGACUAUCUAUGAAGAUACCGAGUAUGGGAGAGGUAUCAUACCAUACCUUGUCGAUGUCCUAGAAGACAUCGAUGCCCAUGUUCCCUACCAAAGUGUGCUCCCUCCAUCAGCAACUAGUUUACAAAUUACCCUAGAACUCUACAAGUUGAUGACAAUGCAAACGACGGUCUUUGUUGUGCAUAUGUCAUUUACCAUGGCUUCCCGUGUCCUCAUCAAGGCAAAAGAUGUAGGGAUGAUGAACAAAGGAUAUGCAUGGAUCAUGACAGAUGGAGUAACCAAUCUCAUAGAUUCACUGAAUCCUUCUGUUCUAAAAUCAUUGAGUGGUAUCUUAGGUGUCAAGUUUUAUGUUCCCAAAUCAACGAAACUUGAUGACUUCACCACGAGAUGGAAUAAGAGAUUCCAAACUGACAACCCAACUGAUUUACCGUUGAAAUUAAGCACCUUUGGAAUGUGGAGCUAUGAUACAAUCUGGGUAGUAGCACAAGCUGCAGAAAAAGUUGGACUUAAAAAUGCCACAUUUACAAAACCAGGUGUCACAAGAAACUCAACAAGCUUGGAAACCUUGAAAACAUCUAGUAAUGGUCCAAAACUAUUACAAGAAAUCUUGCAGAAUCAAUUUGAAGGCCUCAGUGGCAAUUUUGACCUUUCAGACAGGCAGCUGCAAAUUUCAACAUUUCAAAUAAUAAAUGUGAUAGGGAAAGGAUGGAGAGAAAUUGGAUUCUGGACUGCACAAAAUGGAAUCUCACAGCAAUUAAAUAAAACCAAACCUGCAACAGCACUUUCGGGCUCAGCGCAUGACCUAUAUCCUGUGAUUUGGCCAGGAGAGUCCACAGAGGUACCCCGGGGUUCUCAGAUUCCUGUAAGCGGGAAGAAACUUCAAGUUGGUGUGUGCACAAGUGGAUAUCCGGAAUUUAUGAAGGUCGAAAAGGAUUAUAUCACAGGUGCAACUAAAGCAAGUGGUUUUUCAGUUGAUCGAAGUAGCGAAGAUUACAAUGAUUUUGUCUACCAAGUUUAUCUUGAGAUAUAUGAUAUAGCAAUUGGAGAUAUAACAAUAAGGUAUAACCGAACUUUCUACGUCGACUUCACUCUGCCAUACACAGAAUCGGGAAUAGCAAUGAUUGUUCCAGUAAGGGAUAGCAUAAACAGGAACACAUGGAUUUUCUUGAAGCCACUAGCACCUGGCAUGUGGUUUGGAAGCGUUGUAUUCUUUAUCUACACCGGUGUGGUCGUAUUGAUAUUGGAAUUUCUAGGAAACAACAAGAAUGUUCGGGGGCCAAUUCCCAGCCAGCUGGGGAUUAUGAUCUUUUUCUCCAUAUUUGAAGGGAAAGAGCUUGUGCAACGCUUUCUGUCCCGGAUAGUUUUGAUCGUUUGGCUAGUAUUUCUGAUGGUGCUUACAUCAAGUUACACUGUGAGCUUGUCAUCAAUGCUAACUGUACAACAGCUUCAGCCAACAGUAACAGAUGUGCAUGAGCUCCUAAAAAGUGGAGAAUGUGUAGGAUAUCAACAUGGCUCAUACGUCAAGGGACUUUUAGAAGAGCUCAGUUUUGACAGGUUGAAGAUCAAGCCCUACGAUCCUGAUGAUUUUCACGAAGCACUUUCCCGAGGAAGCAACAAUGGUGGUAUUGCUGCUCUUGUGCAUGAGGUUCCGUACAUUAAACUAUUCCUGUCAAACCACUGCAAGGGGUACACAAUGGUGGGCCCAAUUUACAAGGCUGCAGGUUUUGGAUAUGUAAGUUUAACUACAUUAGAUAUGCUUCUUUCACACUAUAUACCUACAGAGAAAGUAACUAUAACAAAAUCAAUUGGUUCUCAAAAAAAAGUUAAUUCAACUAGCAAUCACAUAAAUACAUCUGAACAUCCUAUACUAAUUAUCUUGGUCUGA
rnacentral:rRNA from 1 species